rnacentral:rRNA from 1 species
UACGUAGGGUGCAAGCGUUAAUCGGAAUUACUGGGCGUAAAGCGUGCGCAGACGGCUAUGCAAGACAGAUGUGAAAUCCCCGGGCUCAACCUGGGAACUGCAUUUGUGACUGCAUGGCUAGAGUACGGUAGAGGGGGAUGGAAUUCCGCGUGUAGCAGUGAAAUGCGUAGAUAUGCGGAGGAACACCGAUGGCGAAGGCAAUCCCCUGGACCUGUACUGACGCUCAUGCACGAAAAGCGUGGGGGAGCAAACAGG